GAUACAUGAUGAAAAAAUGUUUCGGUCCCAGAUGAUACUCAGUGAUAACUUAACAUUUUUCUGAUGUU
ensembl:snoRNA SNORD73 Small nucleolar RNA SNORD73